AACGAACGCUGGCGGCAGGCUUAACACAUGCAAGUCGAGCGCCCCGCAAGGGGAGCGGCAGACGGGUGAGUAACGCGUGGGAAUCUACCCUUCUCUACGGAACAACUCCGGGAAACUGGAGCUAAUACCGUAUACGCCCCUCGGGGGAAAGAUUUAUCGGAGAUGGAUGAGCCCGCGUUGGAUUAGCUAGUUGGUGGGGUAAUGGCCUACCAAGGCGACGAUCCAUAGCUGGUCUGAGAGGAUGAUCAGCCACAUUGGGACUGAGACACGGCCCAAACUCCUACGGGAGGCAGCAGUGGGGAAUAUUGGACAAUGGGCGCAAGCCUGAUCCAGCCAUGCCGCGUGAGUGAUGAAGGUCUUAGGAUUGUAAAGCUCUUUCACCGAUGAAGAUAAUGACGGUAGUCGGAGAAGAAGCCCCGGCUAACUUCGUGCCAGCCGCCGCAGUAAGAC
rnacentral:rRNA from 1 species